UUUUCACCGCCAGAUGUCGAUGCUAUACAAGAGCUGUCGACGGCUAUCGAUUUGUCUUUUCUCGUCCACUUCAACCAUUUCUUCCCCACGUGCUACAGUAGUCGCCAUUAUCCUGCACAAACAAAGAUGUUGAAAUGGUCUCGUUAUCACGAAACCUUCUGUACUCAGGAAAAUGGACUGUUAUCUCAAUGGAAGUUUUCCUAAAGAAAAUGCUGCUGGGAAAUUCACCACAUUGGGAGACUAGAAAGUAGAAACCUGCUUGUGUGACCAGUAAAUCAAACAAUUCCACAGCUUGGUUUGGAAUGCUUCCCAUAAAAUUACAUGUGACAUUGUACCUGUAAACGACAUAACUUUGUAACUGAGGUUUCCUGAAUUAUGUGGUCCAUGCUUUGGAAGAUCUAUGUUGAUCUCAACCCAACAGGUGAUGUCCUACUUUGAACAACCAAAUAGUUCAUUACAUAAUGUGGCUUGAAUUUCAUUCAUUAUGUGAUUCUCAGACCAUUCCAUUGCUUGGCUUCAUUCAUGAGUGAAGAGCAUCUUCUGUGGUUGGUGAGAUAUCAAGCCAAGUUUGAAUGAUCUUUUUGCUCAAACAGAUUAAAUUUUCCACCAUCUUCUACUGAUGUAAUGUUUCUCUUUUGAAUGAUGCUGUCUACAAAGAUCCGAAGUAGCACCGUUGGGUCUACUCCUUUUCUACUAGGUGAAAGGAUCGUGCUGGGAUAUUUGGCAAUUUGAAAAUGGAUUACAAUACUUUUCAAUUUGAAAAUUGAAAUGUAAUUUUUAAUUUCUUUUCAAGGACAGAAUAUAAGUUUUUUAAAUGUCACUGGGUUAUACAACCUAUUUGGUGAGAUGUAAAAGUGUACUAGGCCUACGCAAAAGAUUUCCAGAGGAUUGGGUUUUACGUUAUGGUUAGAAAGAUCGUAAAACUAUAGUGGGAAAGGAACUAUUUUAUAACCUGCUAGGAUUUGUGCGUCUAGUCUGUCACUGCAGCAUCGUCACUGGAGAAGUCUCUGGGGUGUGGAGACUUCCAUAAUCUUUCUGUGGAUUGUAUUUUAGGAAAGUCUCGGCCCAACAUAGCUGUUAGGAAUGUUAAAUCUUCUGCAUAGUAUUUUGAAAAGACGAGGGACCCUACUUUGCAUUAACAUGGAACAGUCAUACAUGCAACGGCGGUUGAUUACAUAUAGAAGUGUGAGUCGAUUUAUGCUGCGUUUGAUAUACAAUUAGUAUAUACUU